CUGAAGAGUUUUAAUCGACUCCUCAAACCCUUCUGUGAACCUUUACCCGUCCGUACGUUGCUUCGGCAGGCGGCCCCCGGGGCGGGCCACGGCCUCUUCGAUGAGGUGCCUGCCGGCGACCCACAAAAACAAACUCUUGCUGUACCGUGGCACGUCUGAGUACUAACAAAAAUAAUCA
rnacentral:misc_RNA from 1 species